AUGUGCAUGGUCAUUUCACCAAAAAGCAUGAGGGAAUUGGUAUACGGUUCUUUCUGAUUUUUUGAAAUUACACUCAUAUAUGUUGUUUUUGUUUGUUGUUUAGGUCAGGAUUCAACUCGGUCAAGGAUUCAAUGUUGGAUGAUUUGUUGUUUUGAUGAAUUCACCCAAAUCCUUGUUGUUAAUGCCAAAAAUGUUGGAUCUAACCACCUACAGAGCAUUCAUCGAAACUCUUCAAAGACUUUAGAGCUUGUGGAUGAAGUUGCAGUAUUGGAAGAAAAGGAGGGAGAUCACUUGAAGUUGCAGGGGUACAAUUUCACAACAGGAUUAUUAGUAGAUCAUCAACAGACAUAAAAGAAAUAGUGAGAUAUUCCAGGUUUUUUUUACUAUGCCUCCUAAGAAUAGAAAGUAUGAAUGUGGAAAUGAUAAGCGUAAGAAAAAGAAAAAAAUUGAAGAGUUAAUUCAAUCUCAAGUAGGAGCUCUUGAUAAAUUUUUAAUCAAAGAACCAAAUUUUCAAAUGA